rnacentral:misc_RNA from 1 species
UACGAGGGGUCCUAGCGUUGUUCGGAAUCAUUGGGCGUAAAGCGGGUGUAGGCGGCUUAGUAAGUCAGAUGUGAAAUCCCGGGGCUUAACCCCGGACGUGCAUUUGAAACUGCUUUGCUUGAGUGUUGGAGAGGUUCGUGGAAUUCCAGGUGUAGUGGUGAAAUACGUAGAUAUCUGGAGGAACAUCGGUGGGGAAGCCGGCGAGCUGGCCAAACACUGACGCUCAGACCCGAAAGCGUGGGGAUCAAACAGG